rnacentral:rRNA from 1 species
GAUCCCUCGAAGCCGCCCUGUAGGGGGAUACUUGCGGAGGCUACAUAUCGCUACGCCUAGGUAAUGGGGGCGCAGCUCUGCUUGGGCGCCGAGUCGAUAGCUAUUGUGGGUAGCUACAGGGACGAUCAGUAGCUGUCGAAAGACGAUCAGCACCUGGACUGAGACACGUCCAGACUCCUACGGAGGCAGCAGUGGGGAUUGGACAAUGGGGGCAUCCUGAUCCAGCAUGCUGCGUGUUGAAGAAGACUUCGGGUUGUAAAGCACUUUUGUCCGGGAAGAAAUCGCACUGAUAAUACCGGGUGUGGAUGACGGUACCGGAAGAAUAAGGACCGGCUAACUACGUGCAGCAGCGCGGUAAUACGUAGGGUCAAGCGUUAAUCGGAAUUACUGGGCGUAAAGCGUGCGCAGGCGGUUGUGCAAGACCGAUGUGAAAUCCCCGGGCUUAACCUGGGAAUUGCAUUGGUGACUGCACGGCUAGAGUGUGUCAGAGGGGGGUAGAAUUCCACGUGUAGCAGUGAAAUGCGUAGAGAUGUGGAGGAAUACCGAUGGCGAAGGCAGCCCCCUGGGAUAACACUGACGCUCAUGCACGAAAGCGUGGGGAGCAAACAGGAUUAGAUACCCUGGUAGUCCACGCCCUAAACGAUGUCAACUAGUUGUUGGGGAUUCAUUUCCUUAGUAACGUAGCUAACGCGUGAAGUUGACCGCCUGGGGAGUACGGUCGCAAGAUUAAAACUCAAAGGAAUUGACGGGGACCCGCACAAGCGGUGGAUGAUGUGGAUUAAUUCGAUGCAACGCGAAAAACCUUACCUACCCUUGACAUGCCACUAACGAAGCAGAGAUGCAUUAGGUGCUCGAAAGAGAAAGUGGACACAGGUGCUGCAUGGCUGUCGUCAGCUCGUGUCGUGAGAUGUUGGGUUAAGUCCCGCAACGAGCGCAACCCUUGUCUCUAGUUGCUACGAAAGGGCACUCUAGAGAGACUGCCGGUGACAAACCGGAGGAAGGUGGGGAUGACGUCAAGUCCUCAUGGCCCUUAUGGGUAGGGCUUCACACGUCAUACAAUGGUGCAUACAGAGGGUUGCCAAGCCGCGAGGUGGAGCCAAUCCCAGAAAAUGCAUCGUAGUCCGGAUCGUAGUCUGCAACUCGACUACGUGAAGCUGGAAUCGCUAGUAAUCGCGGAUCAGCAUGCGUCGAAUCCC